AGAUGUACGUGGCCGGUGAUGCUGGUUCUAUUUUGACACUUGAGAGCCUGCCAGCUCUGUAUGCCUGUUAGGCCAUACCAUCCUUGGCAGACUUCUCUGUUCAGAAAUAAGCGGGUAAAUUUAGCCCUGGGUUGCACCACUGGUUUUUGGUGGGAGUUUCCCCAAGUAUUAAUUUGGCCUCAGUGUUGGUGUUCCAAUGUUGUGCAGUGUUGUCUUGCAUGGAAAUGUGCACACGAUGCAAGUAAGCUCUCGACAAAUGCUACGUAGUUCUUCUGAGAUGCUGAACUGCCACCAGCAUCUUUCCUCAGGUGUUUCAGGAACCCUCAGCUUGAUGAAAUUGCUCGCUACUGGAUAACUCUUUGGAUACCAUUGCCCAGAGGAAUGUGAUGGAAGCUCAUACGAAGAUGCACUUUGAUUUAUAUUGUGUGAUCCUUGCCUCUGACGUGGACAUAGUUUUUGUGGAUUACUCCUUAUCUUUCAGGAUCCUGCUUCACCUGAUUGAGACAAUGCCUGACCUGUCUUUGAAACAGAUAGAAGGCAGAAAUCUGGCUUUCAGACCAGCUCCAUUAAGCAUUAACCCACAGGAUGUAACCUCGCUAGAGAGAACAAGACUACCUUUCCCACUCUGUAUUUUCCCUUGCCUGCCAUUCUGCCCACGACACUGGGCCUGGAUGUCUCAGAAUAUACCUCUCCUUCAAUGUAUUUACACAGGAUUUCGCCAUCAGGUCUGUGAGUCAAUCCAGGACAGUCAGGCUGUCCUCUACUGAGAUGUAUCUUGACAUGAAACUCCUGGGAAGCUGGACAACUCUCUCAGCAGAAGUGUUAAUGCCCUUAAGUAAAGCUGAAGUCUUUGUUCUAUCUUCUCCUUGCUCCUGCAACGCCUUAUUUUGUCCUUGUGUUAACAUUCAGGGUGAGGCCAUGAUUCUCUGACUUUGUGAAGAAUUGUUGUAUUUUAGUUUGUAUAAAAGUAACCUGAAUGCAAAUGCUAAAAAGACUAUGGAAAGCAUGAAAAAUGGAAAGCAUUUGUUUUCAAAUUUGGCAGAAUGUUCCUUCUAGUUGUAACCUUUUGUCUAGACGGGUUCCACUCUCCACAGCUUUGCUUCUUUCCUGGCCCUUUUAAAGAUACUAAGGAUGAAUGUGAAACGCAACAAACUGAUAUGUAGUCACACUGAAUAGAGGCAAAAUCAGCUUUCUGUGCAGGCUUUUUGAGGUUCCAAGAAUUUGGACAUUCUCCCAACUGUUGAGAUGGUGGGUAGCUCUAAGCCAAACAUCUAUGAACUUCAAAUAGCUGCUGUUUCAGUUGAAUGUAAUGCAUGAAUAAUUUUGGGAAGCUCAACAGAAGGCAUCCUAUUCAACAGAAGGCAUCCUAUUCAUCAGUGGACUAUGCCUUUGUGGUUACUUUGUAGGUAGUACCUGGUACGAUAAUCUAAAUCAAACAUUUCCUGGGUAAUAACGUAUUAGGUGGCAACAGUGUAAACUGUCCCGGAGUGCUCUAGUAGCACACAACAUGGCCUUGCCAGGAAAAUGGGCAGCACUCGAAACCAGGAUGCUUAUGAAGGCCCUUCUAUUGAAAAUACUGCUAUCAGUACUAACUGAUGCUAUGUCUUGUGACAGCCCUCCAUCUCAAAAUCAAAAUCCUUUCACAUAUCCUGAAAGCAAGUAAGUUUUUAUAGAGGAAAAAUUACAGCAUGAAAAUUCAGCUAGAGUAAACAAACACGAUUCCACAGAUACAGUAAUCUCCAGCUGCAAAAGAUCUGCUCAUUUCACUCCCCAGUCUGUUUUCAGGAUUUGAUUUUUGGGAUGGUUAGCUACUGAAGAUGAAUUGAACUAAUUGAAUUCUGGUACAUUGAGAUCAAUACUGAGACAGAGUUUUCUGGUCUUCUGCACUAUGAAUGUAUUUUUAACAUGGAACAAUUUUAUCUGAUUAGCACAUUAAGUUUGCCUUUUUUUUUUUUUUCCCCUCCCCCCUCUAAUAAACUUAUUUUCUCUCUUGAAAAAUAA